rnacentral:rRNA from 1 species
AUUGAACGCUGGCGGCAGGCUUAACACAUGCAAGUCGAACGAUGAAACUCUAGCUUGCUAGAGAAGAUUAGUGGCGGACGGGUGAGUAACAUUUAGGAAUCUGCCUAGUAGUGGGGGAUAGCUCGGGGAAACUCGAAUUAAUACCGAAUACGACCUACGGGUGAAAGGGGGCGCAAGCUCUUGCUAUUAGAUGAGCCUAAAUCAGAUUAGCUAGUUGGUGGGGUAAAGGCCCACCAAGGCGACGAUCUGUAACUGGUCUGAGAGGAUGAUCAGUCACACCGGAACUGAGACACGGUCCGGACUCCUACGGGAGGCAGCAGUGGGGAAUAUUGGACAAUGGGGGCAACCCUGAUCCAGCCAUGCCGCGUGUGUGAAGAAGGCCUUUUGGUUGUAAAGCACUUUAAGCAGGGAGGAGAGGCUAAUGGUUAAUACCCAUUAGAUUAGACGUUACCUGCAGAAUAAGCACCGGCUAACUCUGUGCCAGCAGCCGCGGUAAGAC